rnacentral:rRNA from 1 species
GAUGAACGCUAGCUACAGGCUUAACACAUGCAAGUCGAGGGGAAACGCCAUCGAAAGCUUGCUUUUGAUGGGCGUCGACCGGCGCACGGGUGAGUAACGCGUAUCCAACCUGCCCAUCACUUGUGAAUAACCUUGCGAAAGUAAGACUAAUACCCAAUGACAUCCCACGAAGACAUCUGAAUGGGAUUAAAGAUUUAUCGGUGAUGGAUGGGGAUGCGUCUGAUUAGCUUGUUGGCGGGGUAACGGCCCACCAAGGCAACGAUCAGUAGGGGUUCUGAGAGGAAGGUCCCCCACAGUGGAACUGAGACACGGGCCAAACACCUACGGGAGGCAGCAGUGAGGAAGAUUGGUAAAUGGGCGAGAGCCUGAACCAGCCAAGUAGCGUGCAGGAUGACGGCCCUAUGGGUUGUAAACUGCUUUUAUAAGGGAAUAAAGUGGGUCUCGUGAGACUUUUUGCAUGUACCUUAUGAAUAAGGACCGGCUAAUUCCGUG